CCCGCCGUCAUGCGUAGGACCCUCCUCGCCUCCUUUACCCGAGCACCCGCCGGCGAGUUCCCCCAUUGCCGCUGCCAGCCAGCGACGCAUCUUCUGCCGACUCCGCAUCUCACCUCUUGGGCACGUUCACAGAAGGUGAAUUCUAUGGGGAAGGACAGAUCUCCUACAGGCUGCAUUGUCCCUUCUAUCACAUUUCGCCAGUAGUUUUACUUCUUUUUCCUUUGUUCAUGUUGGCCAUAGUGCUAAUAACGUUACUCAUUUACUGGCUGGAUCGAGGGAAGUCGCAGCCUUUUUCAGUCUACCGGCAAUGUAUCCCCGGUUGUAUCCAUGAACUUGUAAACUCUGAAUGUUUCCUUCAAUCAACGAGCCAACCUUGAUCUCAAAGAA